GGUUAAGCGACUAAGCGUACACGGUGGAUGCCCUGGCAGUCAGAGGCGAUGAAGGACGUGCUAAUCUGCGAUAAGCGUCGGUAAGGUGAUAUGAACCGUUAUAACCGGCGAUUUCCGAAUGGGGAAACCCAGUGUGUUUCGACACACUAUCAUUAACUGAAUCCAUAGGUUAAUGAGGCGAACCGGGGGAACUGAAACAUCUAAGUACCCCGAGGAAAAGAAAUCAACCGAGAUUCCCCCAGUAGCGGCGAGCGAACGGGGAGCAGCCCAGAGCCUGAAUCAGUGUGUGUGUUAGUGGAAGCGUCUGGAAAGGCGCGCGAUACAGGGUGACAGCCCCGUACACAAAAAUGCACAUGCUGUGAGCUCGAUGAGUAGGGCGGGACACGUGGUAUCCUGUCUGAAUAUGGGGGGACCAUCCUCCAAGGCUAAAUACUCCUGACUGACCGAUAGUGAACCAGUACCGUGAGGGAAAGGCGAAAAGAACCCCGGCGAGGGGAGUGAAAAAGAACCUGAAACCGUGUACGUACAAGCAGUGGGAGCACGCUUAGGCGUGUGACUGCGUACCUUUUGUAUAAUGGGUCAGCGACUUAUAUUCUGUAGCAAGGUUAACCGAAUAGGGGAGCCGAAGGGAAACCGAGUCUUAACUGGGCGUUAAGUUGCAGGGUAUAGACCCGAAACCCGGUGAUCUAGCCAUGGGCAGGUUGAAGGUUGGGUAACACUAACUGGAGGACCGAACCGACUAAUGUUGAAAAAUUAGCGGAUGACUUGUGGCUGGGGGUGAAAGGCCAAUCAAACCGGGAGAUAGCUGGUUCUCCCCGAAAGCUAUUUAGGUAGCGCCUCGUGAAUUCAUCUCCGGGGGUAGAGCACUGUUUCGGCAAGGGGGUCAUCCCGACUUACCAACCCGAUGCAAACUGCGAAUACCGGAGAAUGUUAUCACGGGAGACACACGGCGGGUGCUAACGUCCGUCGUGAAGAGGGAAACAACCCAGACCGCCAGCUAAGGUCCCAAAGUCAUGGUUAAGUGGGAAACGAUGUGGGAAGGCCCAGACAGCCAGGAUGUUGGCUUAGAAGCAGCCAUCAUUUAAAGAAAGCGUAAUAGCUCACUGGUCGAGUCGGCCUGCGCGGAAGAUGUAACGGGGCUAAACCAUGCACCGAAGCUGCGGCAGCGACGCUGAUGCGUUGUUGGGUAGGGGAGCGUUCUGUAAGCCUGCGAAGGUGUGCUGUGAGGCAUGCUGGAGGUAUCAGAAGUGCGAAUGCUGACAUAAGUAACGAUAAAGCGGGUGAAAAGCCCGCUCGCCGGAAGACCAAGGGUUCCUGUCCAACGUUAAUCGGGGCAGGGUGAGUCGACCCCUAAGGCGAGGCCGAAAGGCGUAGUCGAUGGGAAACAGGUUAAUAUUCCUGUACUUGGUGUUACUGCGAAGGGGGGACGGAGAAGGCUAUGUUGGCCGGGCGACGGUUGUCCCGGUUUAAGCGUGUAGGCUGGUUUUCCAGGCAAAUCCGGAAAAUCAAGGCUGAGGCGUGAUGACGAGGCACUACGGUGCUGAAGCAACAAAUGCCCUGCUUCCAGGAAAAGCCUCUAAGCAUCAGGUAACAUCAAAUCGUACCCCAAACCGACACAGGUGGUCAGGUAGAGAAUACCAAGGCGCUUGAGAGAACUCGGGUGAAGGAACUAGGCAAAAUGGUGCCGUAACUUCGGGAGAAGGCACGCUGAUAUGUAGGUGAAGUCCCUCGCGGAUGGAGCUGAAAUCAGUCGAAGAUACCAGCUGGCUGCAACUGUUUAUUAAAAACACAGCACUGUGCAAACACGAAAGUGGACGUAUACGGUGUGACGCCUGCCCGGUGCCGGAAGGUUAAUUGAUGGGGUUAGCGCAAGCGAAGCUCUUGAUCGAAGCCCCGGUAAACGGCGGCCGUAACUAUAACGGUCCUAAGGUAGCGAAAUUCCUUGUCGGGUAAGUUCCGACCUGCACGAAUGGCGUAAUGAUGGCCAGGCUGUCUCCACCCGAGACUCAGUGAAAUUGAACUCGCUGUGAAGAUGCAGUGUACCCGCGGCAAGACGGAAAGACCCCGUGAACCUUUACUAUAGCUUGACACUGAACAUUGAGCCUUGAUGUGUAGGAUAGGUGGGAGGCUUUGAAGUGUGGACGCCAGUCUGCAUGGAGCCGACCUUGAAAUACCACCCUUUAAUGUUUGAUGUUCUAACGUGGACCCGUAAUCCGGGUUGCGGACAGUGUCUGGUGGGUAGUUUGACUGGGGCGGUCUCCUCCUAAAGAGUAACGGAGGAGCACGAAGGUUGGCUAAUCCUGGUCGGACAUCAGGAGGUUAGUGCAAUGGCAUAAGCCAGCUUGACUGCGAGCGUGACGGCGCGAGCAGGUGCGAAAGCAGGUCAUAGUGAUCCGGUGGUUCUGAAUGGAAGGGCCAUCGCUCAACGGAUAAAAGGUACUCCGGGGAUAACAGGCUGAUACCGCCCAAGAGUUCAUAUCGACGGCGGUGUUUGGCACCUCGAUGUCGGCUCAUCACAUCCUGGGGCUGAAGUAGGUCCCAAGGGUAUGGCUGUUCGCCAUUUAAAGUGGUACGCGAGCUGGGUUUAGAACGUCGUGAGACAGUUCGGUCCCUAUCUGCCGUGGGCGCUGGAGAACUGAGGGGGGCUGCUCCUAGUACGAGAGGACCGGAGUGGACGCAUCACUGGUGUUCGGGUUGUCAUGCCAAUGGCACUGCCCGGUAGCUAAAUGCGGAAGAGAUAAGUGCUGAAAGCAUCUAAGCACGAAACUUGCCCCGAGAUGAGUUCUCCCUGACUCCUUGAGAGUCCUGAAGGAACGUUGAAGACGACGACGUUGAUAGGCCGGGUGUGUAAGCGCAGCGAUGCGUUGAGCUAACCGGUACUAAUGAACCGUGAGGCUUAACCUU
rnacentral:rRNA from 1 species